rnacentral:tRNA from 1 species
GCCGAAGUGGCGGAACUGGUAGACGCGCUAGGUGCAGGGUCUAGUGGGCGUGCGCCCGUCGGGGUUCGAGUCCCCGCUUCGGCACCA